CUUUUCUGCAUAUUACCCCAUCAUGCCAAGGUAGGAAAUUUGGCCUAUCAUAGUGCAACUUUGUAGUGUGAUUGAUGGUUUGGAGAUGAUCUGCUAACAAAUGGAAUGGCACUAGGCACACAAUUCACAGCACGCUAGGUAGACCAGAAUUCACAGUUUUAUUUUUUUGUACAUAUAAUCUUCAAUUCAAUUACUUUGUUAACUAUGCGACUUGUGAGUCUCACAUUGUUUAUUGUGAGAUUUAGCAAAUUACAUCAUAAUCCAGUUCAGCCCAGGCACAGUCAAGGCACACAAUGCAAAUGAGGGAUAGAAAUAGAAACAUUGUUUCACUCCUCUGUAUGCUGAUUGCCAGCAGCAAAGGACAGAGUUUAUAACAGUGACUGACAGGGAGCUAAGAUGGGCGAGCCCCCUUACAGGAUAAAGAGAAGUGGAUUUCUACCUUUAAUUAUUAUUUUUUUACCUGACUAUAAUAUAUUUGAUUAAUACCAGGACAAGUAAACAAACAGGGUUAUUAUCAGAAUUAGCAGGAAUGCAAAGUGAUCGGG